UACAGAGGUCCCGAGCGUUGUUCGGAUUCACUGGGCGUAAAGGGUGCGUAGGUGGCUUGGUAAGUUUGAUGUGAAAGCUCAGGGCUCAACCCUGAAAUGGCAUUGAAUACUACUGAGCUGGAGGUUUGGAGGGGGGGGGACUGGAAUUCUCGGUGUAGCAGUGAAAUGCGUAGAUAUCGAGAGGAACACCAGUGGCGAAGGCGAGUCCCUGGACAACACCUGACACUGAGGCACGGAAGCUAGGGGAGCAAACAGG
rnacentral:rRNA from 1 species